GAAACCGCGAGGUCAAGCUGAAAGAAGGGGGAGGCAAAGACACGACCGUACGAACAGAAACAGGCAGAGAGGCAGGGUGUGGGCGAUGAGCGUGCUAGGGAACGCGAAAUCCAACUGUCACCGAAAGACACAUCAAGUAGAGCCUGACGGCACGGGUCGAAAGUACAUGUU
rfam:Achromatium sp. WMS2 contig-183_602, whole genome shotgun sequence.